AACGCUGGCGGUGUGCUUAACACAUGCAAGUCAACGAGAAUUUAUCUUCGGAUAAUAGUAAAGUGGCGAACGGGUGAGUAACGCGUAAAUAACUUGCCUUGGAGAUUGGGACAACAUUGGGAAACCAGUGCUAAUACCAAAUAAUGCAGCGGGCCCUUCGGGGCAUAGUUGUUAAAGUAGGCUUCGGCUUACACUUCAAGAUAGAUUUGCGUCCGAUUAGUUAGUUGGUAGGGUAAUAGCCUACCAAGACCGAGAUCGGUAGCUGGUCUGAGAGGAUGAUCAGCCACACUGGAAUUGAGAUACGGUCCAGACUCCUACGGGAGGCAGCAGUGAGGAAUUUUGCACAAUGGGCGAAAGCCUGAUGCAGCAACACCGCGUGAUUGAUGAAGUUUUUAGGAAUGUAAAAAUCUGUCGUAAGGGAAGAAAUGUUUCGGAUGUUAAUACCAUCUGUUACUGACGGUACCUUACAAGAAAGGACCGGCUAACUUCGUGCCAGCAGCCGCGGUAAUACGAGGGGUCCUAGCGUUGUCCGGAUUUACUGGGCGUAAAGGGUACGUAGGCGUUUUAAUAAGUUGUAUGUUAAAUAUCUUAGCUUAACUAAGAAAGUGCAUACAAAACUGUUAAGAUAGAGUUUGAGAGAGGAACGCAGAAUUCAUGGUGGAGCGGUGACAUGCGUAGAUAUCAUGAGGAAAGUCAAAUGCGAAGGCAGCCUUCUGGCUCAAAACUGACGCUGAGGUACGAAAGCGUGGGGAGCGAACAGGAUUAGAUACCCUGGUAGUCCACGCCGUAAACGAUGAGUAUUUGGUGCUGGGGGAUUCGACCCUUUCAGUGCCGUAGCUAACGCGAU
rnacentral:rRNA from 1 species